rnacentral:lncRNA from 1 species
CCGCUCUUAAAGAGGCUUGGCUUCUUGUAUCCUGACACGUGCAUGUUUUCUGUUUUAUAGGAAGAAAUGUGUCUUGGCUGGAGGCCCACGUUUCGUUCCAGCACAUCCUUUUUACCAAAAGAGCCGUCCCUGGAGCUGCCAACAGUGUUUACAAGAAAACCAUCCAACAAUAGUUUGGAUCUGGGAGCAUGGCCUGACCAUAGACGUGGCCUUCCCCACCCUGAGAACCAACCAUCAGGAAGCCUGGCACAUGAUACGAAAAGGCAGAGAUGCAGAAACAGACGCUGUGCAUGUCCCUGCAAGACUGAUACAAGAUGACUGAGAAAUGUCAUCUGAGAGAAGGGGAAGAACCAGCCCUACAUUAAAAAGCAAAAGCAGGAGCCAUACCACUGACACAAGCUGGGGGUUCCAUCAGUAUCAGCCAAAAUCUGUUGAGGAAUAAACGACCUCUGCCAGGUGGUGAAGAUCA